CUUCUUCUUCGAUCUUUCAUCUUCUGCGUUUUUCUUCUUCUGCAUUUUUCUUCUUCUUUUUCUUCGAUCUUCCAGCUUCUUCUUCUGCAUUUUUCUUCUUCGAUCUUCCAGCUUCUUAUUCUUCUUCUCCUUUUGUGUUUUUCUUCUUCGCAUUCUUCGAUCUUCUAGCUUCUUAUUCUUCUUCUUCUUCUUCCUUGUUUUUCACGUGAUUUCUUUACCUACAAAAUUAGGGCUUUAAUUUGUUUUCUUGUGAUUUCCUUAUCUGCAAAAUUAGGGCUUCAAUCUACAAAAUUAGGGCUUUGAUUCAUGAGGAAGAAGUUUUAAUUUCGGAGGCUUAAACCAAAUCUAUAGCAUCGAGUUUGGAAGAGCAAAACAGUAGGCUCAGUAGGGGCCUCAUCCGCACAGCCUGCUCCUACAAAUACACCUACAACUCUGCCCAAUUCAAAUUCUGCUGCACCUGAGACACAUGUUGAAGCACUGCCCCCCUCAAGCACCACAGCUACUUCAAACAAUGCUGAAUUUCAAGUUUCUAAAGACCAAGACCAUGUUUAAUGCAACAAGUUCAAUGCAACAUUCGCCUCCCACUUACACCAUUGCCCACCAGCACCGUUGUUAUUGUUAGUUGCACUUGUUUAUAUAUUUUAUUUUCUUAUAUUGUACACAUUUGAAUCAUUGUUUUAAUUGUGCAAUGUCUAUUAUAUGUAUGUAAUGACAUUAUUAUUUUAUAAAUAAUAUUUACAAUUUGGGUA